GCAUAUCAAUAAGCGGAGGAAAAGAAAAUAACAAUGAUUCCCCUAGUAACGGCGAGUGAAGAGGGAUAAGCUCAAAUUUUAAAUCUGUAAGUUUUACUUAUCAGAGUUGUAUUUUGAAGAAACGUUUUCCGCGACUUGGAUUAGCCUAAAUCUCUUGGGAUAGAGUAUCAUGGAGGGUUACAAUCCCGUUCAUGGUUAAUCUUAAGGUUGCAAUACGAUACGUUUUCUAAGAGUCGAGUUGUUUGGGAUUGCAGCUCAAAAUGGGAGGUAAAUUUCUCCUAAAGCUAAAUAUUUGCGAGAGACCGAUAGCGAACAAGUACCGUGAGGGAAAGAUGAAAAGAACUUUGAAAAGAGAGUUAAACAGUACGUGAAAUUGUUGAAAGGGAAACGAUUGAAGUCAGUCAUACCAGCGAGAAAUCAAUCGAUUUGGAAGUGAUUCUGUGGGUUUAGGAGAGUUUUCAUUAACCUUCGGUUUGCGGAAUCGUUUCUUUUCGAUGUAUUUUUUCGUACGGUUGGUUAACAUCGAUUUUGAACAUUAUAAAAUGAUCGGAGGAAUGUGGCUUCUAUCUCGUAUCGAAGUGUUAUAGCCUUUGGUAAAUGUAAUGAUCAAGUUCGAGGAUUGCAACGGAUACCCUUUUGGGCUAUUCGUCUGAUCUCUGACACGUUGCUUUGGUAUCGAAAGCUUGCUUACGGUAUUGAGGUAUAACGAUCAAAAGGUUAGAACGGAUUUAAUUCGUUAAGGAUGUUGACGUA
rnacentral:rRNA from 1 species